AAUAAAGUGCCUGAAAAAGGAAUAUUUUGAUAGAAUAGAUUAUAUGGAUUUUCCAUCUUUAUUA
rnacentral:tRNA from 1 species